AUACGGAAGGUCCGGGCGUUAUCCGGAUUUAUUGGGUUUAAAGGGAGCGCAGGCGGCCUUUUAAGCGUGACGUGAAAUGCCGGGGCUCAACCUUGGAAUUGCGUCGCGAACUGGCGGGCUUGAGUACGCUCGAGGCAGGCGGAAUUUGUGGUGUAGCGGUGAAAUGCUUAGAUAUCACGAGGAACCCCGAUUGCGAAGGCAGCCUGCCGGGGUGUUACUGACGCUCAUGCUCGAAGGUGCGGGUAUCGAACAGGAUUAGAUACCCUGGUAGUCCGCACGGUAAACGAUGGACGCCCGCUGUUGGGCCCUAGGGUUCAGCGGCCAAGCGAAAGCGUUAAGCGUCCCACCUGGGGAGUACGCCGGCAACGGUGAAACUCAAAGGAAUUGACGGGG
rnacentral:rRNA from 1 species